rnacentral:rRNA from 1 species
CCUACGGGCGGCAGCAGUGGGGGAUAUUGGACAAUGGGGGGAACCCUGAUCCAGCGACGCCGCGUGAGUGAAGAAGUAUUUCGGUAUGUAAAGCUCUGUCAGCAGGGAAGAAAGAAAUGACGGUACCUGACCAAGAAGCCCCGGCUAACUACGUGCCAGCAGCCGCGGUAAUACGGAGGGGGCAAGCGUUAUCCGGAUUUACUGGGUGUACAGGGAGCGUAGACGGUUAUGUAAGUCUGGAGUGAAAGCCCGGGGCCCAACCCCGGGACUGCUUUGGAAACUGUGUAACUGGAGUACAGGAGGGGCAGGCGGAAUUCCUGGUGUAGCGGUGAAAUGCGUAGAUAUCAGGAGGAACACCGGCGGCGAAGGCGGCCUGCUGGACUGAAACUGACGUUGCGGCUCGAAAGCGUGGGGAGCAAACAGGAUUAGAUACCCUGGUAGUC